GCCUGGCUAGCUCAGUCAGUAGCACGAGGCUCCUAAUCUCAGGGUCGUGGGUUUGAGCCCCCUAUCGGGCA